GUGAGACUGAGUGAUUGUUUGUGUGCCCUCCCUCAUUACAGGAGUUGUAUAUGUUAUGAAGGUAUCAACCAGGCCUGGCCCAUCAAUUCCAGCAGGAAGGUGAACACUCUCCUUAUCCCUGAAACAAUGCUCCUGUGCAACGAUAUGAUAUAAGGAAACGAACCCUGACUGCACACAAGGAUGGGACCUGGAUUCCUGGACUGGAACUCAGGAACACGGACUGGAACACAGGAACGGUGAUCACUCAG